rnacentral:rRNA from 1 species
GAACCGUGAGACAGGUGCUGCAUGGCUGUCGUCAGCUCGUGUUGUGAAAUGUUGGGUUAAGUCCCGCAACGAGCGCAACCCUUAUCCUUUGUUGCCAGCGGUCCGGCCGGGAACUCAAAGGAGACUGCCAGUGAUAAACUGGAGGAAGGUGGGGAUGACGUCAAGUCAUCAUGGCCCUUACGACCAGGGCUACACACGUGCUACAAUGGCGCAUACAAAGAGAAGCGACCUCGCGAGAGCAAGCGGACCUCAUAAAGUGCGUCGUAGUCCGGAUUGGAGUCUGCAACUCGACUUCAUGAAGUCGGAAUCGCUAGUAAUCGUGGAUCAGAAUGCCACGGUGAAUACGUUCCCGGGCCUUGUACACACCGCCCGUCACACCAUGGGAGUGGGUUGCAAAAGAAGUAGGUAGCUUAACCUUCGGGAGGGCGCUUACCACUUUGUGAUUCAUGACUGGGGUGAAGUCGUAACAAGGUAACCGUAGGGGAACCUGCGGUUGGAUCACCUCCUUACCUUAAAGAAGC